rnacentral:rRNA from 1 species
CAUGGGGUCGAGCGUUAGACCGGCCACCAUCACCCCGAAGGGAUCCGGUUGAUCCGGGUUAGGACUCUUAGCACCACUGGAUUAGCUUGGGCGGUUGUUCGCCGGUACGGGAAUAUCAACCCGUUGUCCAUCGACUACGCCUGUCGGCCUCGCCUUAGGUCCCGACUUACCCAGGGCGGAUUAACCUGGCCCUGGAACCCUUGGUCUUUCGGAGGACGGGUUUCUCACCCGUCUUUCGCUACUCAUGCCUGCAUUCUCACUCGUGUAGCGUCCACGGCUGGCCACCUCCUUUGUUGCACAAUGGGCGAAAGCCUGAUGCAGCAACGCCGCGUGAGGGAUGACGGCCUUCGGGUUGUAAACCUCUUUUAGUAGGGAAGAAGCGAAAGUGACGGUACCUGCAGAAAAAGCACCGGCUAACUACGUGCCAGCAGCCGCGGUAAUACGUAGGGUGCAAGCGUUGUCCGGAAUUAUUGGGCGUAAAGAGCUCGUAGGCGGUUUGUCGCGUCUGCUGUGAAAUCCCGAGGCUCAACCUCGGGCUUGCAGUGGGUACGGGCAGACUAGAGUGCGGUAGGGGAGAUUGGAAUUCCUGGUGUAGCGGUGGAAUGCGCAGAUAUCAGGAGGAACACCGAUGGCGAAGGCAGAUCUCUGGGCCGUAACUGACGCUGAGGAGCGAAAGCGUGGGGAGCGAACAGGAUUAGAUACCCUGGUAGUCCACGCCGUAAACGUUGGGCGCUAGAUGUAGGGACCUUUCCACGGUUUCUGUGUCGUAGCUAACGCAUUAAGCGCCCCGCCUGGGGAGUACGGCCGCAAGGCUAAAACUCAAAGGAAUUGACGGGGGCCCGCACAAGCGGCGGAGCAUGCGGAUUAAUUCGAUGCAACGCGAAGAACCUUACCAAGGCUUGACAUACACCGGAACGGCCAGAGAUGGUCGCCCCCUUGUGGUCGUGUACAGGUGGUGCAUGGUUGUCGUCAGCUCGUGUCGUGAGAUGUUG